rnacentral:rRNA from 1 species
AAUUUUCGGCAAUGGGGGAAACCCUGACCGAGCAACGCCGCGUGAGUGAAGAAGGCCUUCGGGUUGUAAAGCUCUGUUGUAAGGGAAGAACGGUAACAGGAGGGAAUGCCUGUUAUAUGACGGUACCUUACCAGAAAGCCACGGCUAACUACGUGCCAGCAGCCGCGGUAAUACGUAGGUGGCAAGCGUUAUCCGGAAUUAUUGGGCGUAAAGGGAGCGUAGGCGGUCUUGCAAGUCUAUGGUUAAAAUUCGGGGCUUAACCCCGUCUUGCCAUAGAAACUGCUUGACUUGAGUACAGGAGAGGUUAGUGGAAUUCCAUGUGUAGCGGUAAAAUGCGUAGAUAUAUGGAGGAACACCAGUGGCGAAAGCGGCUAACUGGCCUGUAACUGACGCUAAGGCUCGAAAGCGUGGGGAGCAAAUA